rnacentral:tRNA from 1 species
GCCGACGUAGCUCAGUUGGUUAGAGCGCUGGAUUGUGGAUCCAGAGGUCGUAGGUUCGACCCCUACCGUCGGUACCA